UUUAAGCGUAGCCAUAAGUUUACGUGUUCAACUUUAAUCGUCCGUCUUAUUUGAAAUUUUUUUAUGAUUAGUAUUUUUAUUGUUAUUAGAUGAUAAACAUAGUACUUUAUGCGUGACUUAUAUUUUUUAAUUUUUUUAAAAAAAUUAAAUAAGACAUAGAUUAAAGUUGGACACGAAAACUCACGAUUCUAUCUUUA
rfam:Oryza sativa Japonica Group DNA, chromosome 2, cultivar: Nipponbare, complete sequence.